CACGUAGUUAGCCGUGGCUUUCUAUUCCGGUACCGUCAAUCCUUCUCACUAUUCGCAAGAAGGCCUUUCGUCCCGAUUAACAGAGCUUUACAACCCGAAGGCCGUCAUCACUCACGCGGCGUUGCUCCGUCAGACUUUCGUCCAUUGCGGAAGAUUCCCCACUGCUGCCUCCCGUAGGAGUCUGGGCCGUGUCUCAGUCCCAAUGUGGCCGUUCAUCCUCUCAGACCGGCUACUGAUCAUCGCCUUGGUGGGCCGUUACCCCUCCAACUAGCUAAUCAGACGCAAUCCCCUCCUUCAGUGAUAGCUUACAUGUAGAGGCCACCUUUCAUCUAUCCUCGAUGCCGAGAUUAGAUCGUAUGCGGUAUUAGCAGUCGUUUCCAACUGUUGUCCCCCUCUGAAGGGCAGGUUGAUUACGCGUUACUCACCCGUUCGCCACUAAGAUUGAUAGAAGCAAGCUUCCAUCGCUCUUCGUUCGACUUGCAUGUGUUAAGCACGCCG
rnacentral:rRNA from 1 species